rnacentral:rRNA from 1 species
GACGAACGCUGGCGGCGUGCCUAACACAUGCAAGUCGAACGGAGAUACUUUUGAAGCUUGCGAUAGAGUAUCUUAGUGGCGGACGGGUGAGUAACGCGUGGGUAAUCGGCCCAUAAGCGGGGAACCACAGUUGGAAACGAAUGCUAAUACCGCAUAAUCUACUGCAAAGUAGGAAAGGUGGCCUUCGAAUUUGCUGCCGCUUAAGGCUGAGCCCGCGUCUGAUUAGCUAGAUGGUGGGGUAAAGGCCUACCAAGGCGACGAUCAGUAGCCGGCCUGAGAGGGUGAACGGCCACACUGGGACUGAGACACGGCCCAGACUCCUACGGGAGGCAGCAGUGGGGAAUAUUGCGCAAUGGGGGAAACCCUGACGCAGCGACGCCGCGUGAGCGAAGAAGGCCUUAGGGUUGUAAAGCUCUGUUUUAGGGGACGAAUGUUCAUAGGAGUAAUAUGCCUGUGAAAUGACGGUACCCUAAGAGGAAGCCCCGGCUAACUACGUGCCAGCCGCCGCAGUAAAAC